CUGCUGCCUCCCGUAGGAGUUUGGGCCGUGUCUCAGUCCCAAUGUGGCCGUCCACCCUCUCAGGCCGGCUACUGAUCGUCGCUUUGGUAGGCCGUUACCCUGCCAACUGGCUAAUCAGACGCGGGUCCAUCGCAUACCACCUCGGUUUUUCACACUGGACCAUGCGGUCCCGUGCGCUUAUGCGGUAUUAGCACCUGUUUCCAGGUGUUAUCCCCCGGUAUACGGCAGGUUACCCACGCGUUACUCACCCGUCCGCCACUAACUUAA
rnacentral:rRNA from 1 species